GCACCGGGGAGGUGGGGUCUUACCAGGAUCAAUAGGCAGGCAGUCACUUUCUUUUCAUAGGAAUCUUGUCGAUUGGCCUGGCUGCUGCCUACUACAGCGGAGAUAGCCUGGGCUGGAAGCUCUUCUACGUCACAGGCUGCCUGUUUGUGGCUGUGCAGAACUUGGAGGACUGGGAGGAAGCCGUCUUCGACAAGAGCACAGGGAAGGUUGUUUUGAAGACGUUCAGCCUCUACAAGAAGCUGCUGACUCUUUUCAGAGCUGGCCACGACCAGGUGGUGGUCCUGCUGCAUGAUGUCCGUGACGUGAGCGUGGAGGAGGAGAAGGUCCGGUACUUCGGGAAGGGCUACAUGGUGGUGCUCCGGCUCGCAACGGGCUUCUCCCACCCCCUCACGCAGAGCGCGGUCAUGGGCCACCGCAGUGAUGUGGAAGCCAUCGCCAAGCUCAUCACCAGCUUCCUGGAGCUGCACUGC
rnacentral:sRNA from 1 species